UUGGGCUCGAUGAAAGGAGAUAGAAUAGGUGUUCGAGGGAGAGGUCGGCGCCCCCGCGUCCUGAGUGCGUACCGGAGGGGCGGCGACGCAGGCGCGACCAGGAGCUAGGAUGCGCGCCCCGAGGGGCUGGAAACUAGGGGAGCGAAGUUGCCGCCGCCGUGGGACAGGAAGGUAACUGGCGGGCUAAGGCCGGUUGAGGACGCGGAAGGGGCCCGACGUCGAGUGCCAUUGCCUAGGGGAGCGGCGGGGGAUGGCUAAGCGGGACGUCGGCCGGAAGGAGCGGCGGGGCCGCACGGGGAACCGGUGGCUCCUCUACUCAACGCGACGGGCACUCGUGGAGAGGACUAAGUAGAGAAAGGAGCGGGUGUACCCGGCGCGCUCAUCCUCGAGCGGCAGCCGGUACCUACGCCGGAUCUUGACGAUGGCGGGUACGGGACGGUACGCGGCUGCCGGUACCUGGUCGGCGUGCUCAUCCUCGUGCGGUGCCGCACGCGCGUACCUACGCCGGCUCUUGACGACGGCGGGGACUUGACUUCGGCGCACUACGACGACGGCGACCCCGCACGACGACGAGCGGAGAGGUCAGGCGGCCACGGAGAGUGAGCCCACCACAGGGCCCGACUGCCACUCCGUGACGCACGCAGGCUCGACGACGAACGCAGCGGAGCGCUGGCGACGACCUGGACUCCCUCGGCGGCGCGCGCAGGUCCCCUCGUAGACUCGUCGAGCGCAAACUCGACUGCCGAUGCACGCGUUGGAGACUUAAGUCACUACGUUUUAAGACCUCCGUUGAUGUACAUAUAUCAUAAGUACUUUCGAAAGUAAACUUUCGAGUAUUCCAGUUAAAACAAGGAAAAAGUAAAAACAAGAAAGUAAACUUUCGAGUAUUCCAGUUAAAACAAGGAAAAAGUAAAAACAAGAAAGUAAACUUUCGAGUAUACCAGUUAAAACCUCCGUUGAUGUACAUUUGUUUAAUACCGUGCGUCGUGUUCAAAGAAACAAACAUUUAAUUCGUCAGACCAUCUAAACCUUUCCUCCUUGUACCAUGACUUGAAAAUAUAUAGUCGUAUUCUACAAAAGGAUACGGAACUCCUCAACGGCUACCUAUUAUACGUCUCCGAUGGUUCACCAUCGAGGUUAGAACGUUAACUCCAGUCGUUACCCACGAAGAGGACCCUGCCGAGUGGACUCUAUGGUUGUGACUUCCUAGACUCAAAAGUUCUAGUCGUUCCGUACGCACAACGUCAGACACCCUACUAGCCGAGAUCUUUUAGUUCAAACGAGAAAACGUCAGACACCCUACUGGCCGAGAGUCACUCCACGGUUUCGAUAAUCCUCUAGGGUUCUGAACGCCUUGUUACCGUAUACGGUCGGUCUGUCAUACCUACUUCUCGCCGUUUUUAAGUCCUGUUGUAUGACAAACUGUUCCUUUACCUCUCACUCUUCAUACCGUCCCAGGAACACACCACAAGCGACUUCUUUCUGAACCUCUAGUUUCAGUAAACUCUCACUCCGUCGUUAGAAUCACCAUCCGUCUUCGUUACCUAAGUCUAUCGGACUCGUAACAUAGUCCCACGGAAAAGAGCACUCUAGAUUUCGUGAGGGGGCUGAAGGCAGGGGCGCUCUAGGCCUCUCCUUCACGACCGGAGGUCGGAGGCCGCCCCUUCGACGACGGAAGGUACCGUUUUUUAUGUUAAGGAGCGACUGGAGGGGUCAGUUCAGGGGGGAAGUGCGAGUUGGGGAGGAGACGCAGCACGUAGGAGCGGAAGGAGAGGGAUUUGUGUCUGGUUCGGGAGGGGAUUUGGGUUAGGGCACCAUGAUAACGUAGAACCAAAACACUUAUGAUAAUGUAGUACUUUUCUUCCCCCUGACUAAUAACCAAGUUUUAUUAACCCCUCGUAUCUCUACACUCUCUAACUCCCCAAGCCAACCCCUAAACAUGGUAUAGUACAACUACACAUAAGGUAAUAAAUAAGAAACGAGACGAACCCCGUUAAAACAACAUGUCCCUCGAUACUAAACCUAGUUAAUAUAUGAAUAUACACUACAAGAAAGUACGAAAACUCCGAGGACAACUUCUCUAUUAAAAAUCGAUAAACAUGACUAAUAACGAUGACCACAACUAACGUAAAUAACAACGAUGGUAUACGUCUAACGGCACUUACAUACUCUCUAAUUAUGGUAAUAGGGUACACACGUUAGAAAUUUGCCUACCGACUACGAACCACAUAAGAAAACACAGUUAGCCUUGUUUGUUCCUCCCUCCCAGACCGAGGUCAAGUAACAUUGAGUUAAUUGUAUCAAGCUGGUGAGACUUUUUCCACUACGAGACAUCAUUCAAGUAAAUACCAACACACACAAAGAUAACUACACAAACGGGACAGACAAGUAACGUAUAAGUCAACAAGCUUUUUCCCCACAGUAAACACGGUUCAAUUAGUUGAUCCCUUUCAUUGUGAACUAGUGUCCCAUUAUUUCAAUCAUCCACAUACAUUUCAAUACAUCGAAGCAGUUUGUCUACACUACAAAAUCAACAACCAGUCAAUAUCGACGAGAGGUUACUGGAAAACUUAAGUUGUACAGUAGUCAGUUUAUAUGUUCCUCCUGUGUCUUGUUUAGUCUUUCUUACAUCGUUCAACAAUUUAGACUAAACGACGAAAGUAAAACACCUUGAGAUAUCGAACACUUUAUAAGUACACAAUAUAGAACAUGCGGAGAACACUAAAAUGGUUACCUCAACCGAGAUCGAGAACUUUUCUACCACUUACUCUUCGAAGGGUUGGAAGGGUGACAUUCAAAGAAGAAGUACGGAUAAAUGUUCCUUUUAAUGAAAUUUUCAUAAACACACACACACACAAACCGGGUGACUUAAGGAUUAAUAAAUAGGCUUGGUCAUGUACGUUUGCAGAGUGGUAUAGAUUUUGCAAGUAGGGUUUAAAUUGUCCAUCGUUGUUACACUUUUCUAGGAGUCGACUCGUAGAAGUAACCCGUUACCUGUACUCCGCGCUCCCCACAAUUCUCCUUUACCUGAGAGACCUCGAAAGAAUGUCACUCCUGUCCUAGGGGAGAACGGGUUCCAAUUUAAGGAGUUGAUAGAUCGGGGCACUACGGUUACCAAGGGAAGGUCAGAAGAGAAAUUUUAGACAGUCGUCGUUCGAGACAGAUUUACAUACCAUGAAGAGAUUCCUCUACAGUGUCAUAAAAAUUAAAUUUAUGGACAAUAUCCAGGGAACUCACGAAUCGACUUUAAACGACCAAAUGAUCGAGAGACUUUCCCAGUUUAGUGACAUCUCGUUGAUAUCGUACGUUGACGAUAUCAACAUAUAUAUCAAACAUAAAUAGUGAUUCUAACCAGUAGUUCUACAAGACGUAGUUUCCACAACCAUCACGAUGUCAACUUUUUUAUUCUACUGAAACACCACAAUGAUGAUGGACUCUUCAUCGUUGGAGGGUGUUUUCCGUACGGUAAAAAAGACAAACACAUGAUACAAAACCCCUCGAUAUUGUUUCAGCAAUGAUACCGUCUUUUUCAUCAUGUCAUUUCGUACAUGGUCUAUAUGACCCUCUUUUACGGUGCACUAUUUUCUUGCUGAAGUUUACUUACGUAUACAGAACUUUACUUGAAAAAUAGUACAACACUAACUAAUGACCUUGAUAUGAAUUAAACAAUAGAAAAUCCGUCUUAUAUACUAUAACUGUCCUAAAAAAAUACACUAUGGCCUUCGUCCAUUUAAAGAAAACAGUUAACAGUAUGUGAUAAGAUUGGAGGGCGGACCGUCAUAGUAGAUGUUACUACAAAAGUGGAUCGAACUAGAAGACGUAACGUAUAUGAAGAUCAAAAAAUAUACAUAGGACACAUGACUAACAAAGGGAGAUAACACACAUUCGGCUUAAAAGAUUAGCUAGGAUAAAACACAGCGUUAAGCCCCUGAAUAACCUCUAUAGUAGGAUAACGGAUGAUAGUUGUAAUCUUCAGUUUUAGCUCAUCUUUACACUCCCCACCACGUUCCUAAUAGGGAACGUCCCGACGGGGGUGCAGUUCAAGCUACUCCAACCUCAAAAUUUCAAAAUUUGAAAGGUAACGAGGCCGCACCGAAACACUGUACACACACAGCACACUACCAGCUCGAGUAGCGGAACCUAACUCGUUACAAAAGCGGGUAACGUUAUACCUGUGGUACGGUGGCAGUUGUUACUCCUGUUCUUACUUAUUAUGAAAGUGGGGCAACGUUGCGUGCCCGGGAAAACGAUCAACUUUAUGUAGUCUCAUGUUGUAGUAUAUCGAAGUCGUGAGUCGAUGGGGUAAUGUCUUGAUGUGCUCCUGGUUCAAAGUGUACGUUGUAGAUAUUGGAAAGCUUUAAUUGUAAUAUCUGCCAUGUAUCUG
rnacentral:rRNA from 1 species